CCUACGGGAGGCAGCAGUGGGGAAUAUUGCACAAUGGGGGAAACCCUGAUGCAGCAACGCCGCGUGAGUGAAGAAGGCUUUCGGGUUGUAAAGUUCUGUUAUCAGGGAGGAGGAAGGUCGGUACCUGUAGAUGAAGCUACGGCUAACUACGUGCCAGCACCCGCGGUAAUCCGUAGGUGGGAAGCGUUGUGCGGAAAAACUGGGCGAAAAGGUUGCGUAGGCGGAUAAACAAGUGAUAUGUAAAAUAUAUAGGCUAAACCUGUAGAAAACAUAUAAAACUGUUUAACUAGAGAGCAGGAGAGGUAAGUGGAAUUCCUAGUGUAGCAGUGAAAUGCGUAGAGAUUAGAAAGAACACCAGUGGCGAAGGCGACUUACUGGACUGGAACUGACGCUGAGGCAUGAGAGCAUAGGGAGCAAACGGGAUUAGAUACCCGAGUAGUC
rnacentral:rRNA from 1 species